rnacentral:rRNA from 1 species
ACUCCUACGGGAGGCAGCAGUAGGAAUAUUGGUCAAUGGACGGAAGUCUGAACCAGCCAUGCCGCGUGCAGGAAGACGGCCUUCUGGGUUGUAAACUGCUUUUAUCAGGGAAGAAUAAGCUUCUUGCGAGAGGUGAUGCCGGUACCUGAGGAAUAAGCACCGGCUAACUCCGUGCCAGCAGCCGCGGUAAUACGGAGGGUGCGAGCGUUAUCCGGAUUUAUUGGGUUUAAAGGGUCCGUAGGCGGGUUAAUAAGUCAGUGGUGAAAUCCCAUCGCUUAACGAUGGAACUGCCAUUGAUACUGUUAGUCUUGAAUG